GUUUUAGUAUUCACUGAGUGACUUGAACUUAGUUGAGUUCAAUCGCCUGCACCACAGGAAACCACGUCCCUAACUGCUGUUUUCUCUGCUUUCUAUAGCCAACACCCAAAGCCACUCUCAGUGUCAUGGGGAGGAGACUUCACAAGGCAGCAGCUCACAUCUAAGUUUGGUUCCUUCUGUCACAGCUGUGUUGCUGAUUUUCUGCUUUGUACAAGCCUGGCCUUAGUCCUCAGGAAUUCCGGUGACUACAGUUGUCACAAGAAGGAAACAGAUGCAGAAUCAAGGGUAUUCAUCUACUUUGAGCAGAAGCAAGGUUGGCCCUUCAAGCUGCUACUCAUCAUCUGCCACACACACCACUGCUAUAAUAUGUGUACGAAGAAAGACAACUGUAUUCAAGGUGGUAUUGGAUCAGAGUUAAUACAUUUCC